CGCGUAUUUCGCGCAGGCGGAGCUCGACCGCCGCAACAAGUGAUGAACAGUUUCAUCGACACGCACCGCGAGCGCUUCGGGGUCGAGCCGAUCUGCAGGGUGCUGCAGGUUGCCCCG
rfam:Azoarcus sp. KH32C DNA, complete genome.